ensembl:lncRNA
GUGACAUAGCAGGCAGACUCAGAAUGUAAGCAGGAAAUCGUCCUCUGGCUCUUCCUUUUCCUCCUGCUCUCUUCUCUAUGGAGCCACCAUGUGAUCCCGGGAAGAGGACACUAGUGGAAGGCAUCCUCAAUAAGAUAAGUCUUGUAAAAUAUAUAGAUAAGACUGAGCUAGCACAUAAGAAAUCCUAGUCAAUUGGCCAGAAGCAUUGUAAACUAAUAUAAGACUCUGUGUGUUAUUCUGGAUUGCCCACAUGGCAGUGGGGCUUGGGCAGAUGGAGUAAAGACUUAUGCUUACAGAAUGGUGUCAGUGAGUAGCAUUACCCCAUGCCCUGAGAUUCCCAGAGGAAGUGGUGAACCUGCUGCCACAGCCUGCCCUGUUAAGCCGCUGAGCAUCAGAGCAGCUUCCAUACAUGCUUGCCAUUGGACACUCUUGGGUGUUGGACUCAGUGCUCCCGAGAUGGCCUGCAGCCCUCGAGAGUUCUAGGGUUAGGAUUCUGUGCUCUCACCACUUCGAGCCACCAGUCGCUGCAAGUCAUGAACCACCAUGCAUCAAGAGCUGCCUUCCUCGACUAGGCAAGCAGUGGCAGAACCCAGGCAGCUGGUGGUAGUGUUACAAACCUCCAUGUAAACUUCACAAAAGCUUAAAAAGGGAUUCUGGAAGCAAAAGAACAGAGACAAGCAUGACUUCUUGGUAACAGCAUUUUCUCGGGUGGGCUCUGUUUUGCUAGAGACAAGCAGAGACUCGAGCAGUCCCUUAAGGGAGGUUUCCUGACCCAGCAUAAAUGGCAAAACCACAUGGCUAUUUUAAGAGGCCCAGCUAGCUCAUUCAGUAAAGCAUGAGACUCUUAAUGUGGGUUCAUACCCCACACAGCUGGCAGUGGCAGUGACCACAUCUCCAAGCUGACAUGCUUCUUGGUGGCAGCACAGACCAAGGCAGUGAGCACAGUUCUCAGUCUGGGGAAAAGACAGCCACUAAGAAAGCGACUGCUUUGAUUUUGGCAGCGUUGUUUAACAGUUGAAAGACUGUGUGGCCAGGAAAAGGUAAAGUUUUACAGUAAAAACAGACUCAGAUGAAGAAAAACCUCUAAAGGUUUACACUGUGUUUAAAAAUAUAUGUAGGCUUGUGAGAGAAAAAGAAACAGGAGGAAAUAGAGUAGCUGGGUGUGAUGGCACAUGCCUUUAAUCCCAGCACUUGGGAGACAGAGGCAAGCAUAUCUUGGUGACUUCAAGGCCAGCCUAUUGUACAGAGUGAAUGCAAGGGCAGCCAAAGUUGCACAGAUAAUCCCUGUCCCAUAAAAGGAAAAAAAUAAAAGUAAAAGGAAUAGAAUAAUAAAAAGCCAAGUAAAUAUGAAAAAUAUACAGGGUCUGGAUACUAUGCUAUAUUGUUGUCUUUAAACUGUUUGAUUGCUGAGGAAAUAGCAACAACUGCUAACAGACAUUUGAUUAUAAAUGCUGCUAAAUUAAUACAACUUAUACACUUUAAAAAUGCUUUGACUCCAAAAUUUAAGUCUAAGGACAGGCUACUUGGAAAAAAGAAUUUCUGCUUUUGUUUACACAGGAAAUGAAAAGCUAUGGAUUCCUUCCAGACUAAUAUGGUUUGAUGAAGCAAGACCACCUGAAGCAGUGACCCAACAAGAUCCUACAUCCAAAACAGCUGAGAUGAUGCAGCCUUGCAGACUACACAAACAAGGACUAUGGCCAGGUUUCUGUGUUUUAUCAUGAUCCUCAUGCAAGAACACCUAGAAUUUAAAUGCCAAAAGAAACGAGGAGAACAGUUCUGCUAUUUCUCUUCAUCACUUCCCAUACCAAGAAGAAUGCCUGAAAGAGUGACAAUUUUAAAAUAUUUAUGUAAACAAAGGUAAUGUGUCAUGUGUAUUUGGAUGCAAGGAUGCCUUAUAUUAAGUUGGAUGGCCCCCAGGGAGUCAUGAUCCAAAGGUUGGAAAGUACUGCAGAAGAGGUUUGCCUCUAUUAUUUUGGCCUCAAAAUUUGUCUCAGAGGAUUUUGAAGGUAUACACUAGAGCCAAUGACAAAUGGUGUGGUUACAUGCAUGGGAUGUAAACUCACAUUUGGAUCAGAGCCCCUCCAUGAUCUGGAUGGAUCCACAUCACAUACAGGAGUGAAACAGAGUGGCAACAGACAUGAAGAUUUGCACUUUGAGGAAAAUCUCUGACAAGUGUCCCCUUCUUUCCAAGAGAUGAGAGCUGGGUGAUGAAGACUCAUGAAGCCACUCUUGGUUCUUCAUGUCAGGUUUAUUUCAUAGCACUAUUGGCCCUACAAAAGGAAGAUACAGAGGUGCAGCAUCUAAAAUCAUUAUCAGCUAGAUCUACAGUGGGCUGUUUUCUGUCCCUGAUUCUCACAGUAACAUCUACAGCAAGGCCACCCUGAUUGCACAGAUUGAGUCACCUUUGGAUUUCUCACAUUGAAUCCUUGAAGCUUGCUUUACAUGGAGUGCCCUGAGUGGGGGGGGGGAGCAAAGGACAUCACCCAUGGUCUUUCAUGUCAUUGUCUGAUGUUCAUAAUUAUAUUCUUAGUGAACCAAUUUCAUAACAGGGAGAAGAGCAGCUAUGGCAGAUCCCUGUUGAGACUCUGCCAAUCAACAUGACGCCAAUGAAUAAGCAUCACUUUAACAUUUUCCUCAAUAUCCAGUGGGUAACAGUGAAGACUUGGGGUCCUUUUGAUCUUUGCCCCUUCUAGAGGCACCAGACAAUAGUCUCUUUCUUGUAGUCCCUACUGACAUUAAUGCAAAUAUUUCUGACAAGUGGAAAAUCUCCUUGUAAUUAAAUUUCUGUUGUACUUUAAUGUUUGUUCCCUAAAGAAAGUUCCUGUUAGAAGAUUUCAAGCUGUGAUAAUAACAUUUUCUUGCUAUGCUAUCAAAAUCUGUAAUCUAUUUUCUU